rnacentral:rRNA from 1 species
AUGGGAUCUCUCCCCGUCCCGAGUGUGCAGGCCUUGGUGGAGGCCACCGGCGGAGACGAUGUGCCGCCGAGGUAUCUCCGGCCAGAUGCGGCAGAGGAAGCGGUCACCGGUGACGGCGACGGCGAGGCUCAGAUCCCCAUCAUCGACCACCGAAGGCUGCUGCUGGAGCUGGACCAUGGCGGCGAGGAGUCUGCACGCCUCCACAGAGCCUGCCAGGACUGGGGCUUCUUCCAGUUAGUUAACCACAGUGUCCCUGACGAUGUGGUCGAGAGCAUGAAGGUCAACAUCCAGCAAUUCUUCCAGCUACCCGCAGAGACGAAGAAGCGAUUCGCUCAGGAGCGAGGGCAGCUCGAAGGCUACGGUCAACUAUUCGUCGUCUCCGAGGAUCAGAAGCUCGACUGGGCUGACAUGCUCUUCCUCUACGCACAGCCACCCGAGAGGAGGAAGACCAAGUUCUGGCCUGACCAGCCUGCUACCUUCAGAUCGACGCUGGAUAGAUAUUCUGGUGCGGUGAAGGAUGUAUCAGACUCCCUUUUGGCUACGAUGGCGAAGAACUUGGGACUGAAACGAGAAACGAUCGCUGACAAAUGCAUCCGUGGAAUGCAGUCUUUCAGAAUGAACUACUACCCCCCAUGCGCCCAAGCAGAGAGAGUCGUUGGCUUGUCCCCGCACUCUGAUGCUAAUCUGCUGACCCUUGUCCUCCAAGUGAACCAUGUCCAGGGCCUGCAGAUCAAGAGGAACGGCAGCUGGCUUCCCGUCAAGCCUGUCCCGGGCGCUUUCAUCGUCAACAUCGGAGAUAUGCUUGAGGUCUUCACGAACGGGAGGUACAGGAGCAUCGAGCACCGGGCAGUCGUCGACCCCAAGGAAGAGCGGCUGUCGGUCGCGGCGUUCCACUUCCCAGACAUGGACGCCAUGAUAGGUCCUCUGAAGGAGCUGACCGCACAAGAAGACGAUGCCUACAAGACGUUGGACCUCGAGAGCUUCAUGAAGAUCUUCUUCGCGACGAAGCUCGAGGGGAAGAGCUUCUUAGACCGGAUGAAGCUGAACUAG